UACUUGCUCUCUCAGCUCCGCAGCUGG
rnacentral:piRNA from 1 species